CUCUUCUCCCCCAACACUAUGAACCCACCCAUCUUCCCUUCUCCUAACCCUGUGCCAUUGACAACCCCCAUUUUCUAGCGUAAUUUUCAUGAUCCAUUCUCAGAAAUUGCCUUUGCAGAAGGGCAAAUGGGCAUAGUUGAUUAAGCACACUAGCUUUUACCAAACUAGUAUUAUUGUGACCCCUGGUCAAUAUGAAUAGAUUGAUGAAGGGUAAAGUUUAUUUUGUCCUCACCAUUUCCUCCCUUCCACCACCUUUGUCGUAAGCCUUCCCUCCUCUGCCCAUCACAGCAACAUCCACCCUCAUCCUCCCCUACCUGGUCCUCUUCUCCCCCAACACUAUGAACCCACCCAUCUUCCCUUCUCCUAACCCUGUGCCAUUGACAACCCCCAUUUUCUAGCGUAAUUUUCAUGAUCCAUUCUCAGAAAUUGCCUUUGCAGAAGGGCAAAUGGGCAUAGUUGAUUAAGCACACUAGCUUUUACCAAACUAGUAUUAUUGUGACCCCUGGUCAAUAUGAAUAGAUUGAUGAAGGGUAAAGUUUAUUUUGUCCUCACCAUUUCCUCCCUUCCACCACCUUUGUCGUAAGCCUUCCCUCCUCUGCCCAUCACAGCAACAUCCACCCUCAUCCUCCCCAACCUGGUCCUCUUCUCCCCCAACACUAUGAACCCACCCAUCUUCCCUUUUCCUAACCCUGUGCCAUCGACAACCCCCAUUUUCCAUCCUCCCAACCCCCUUCUCUAAGGAUGUGGAGAGAAGAAUUGGGGAGCAGAGUGAGGACGAAAUAAUGGAAGCAGUUAAUAAAAUUUAAAGGCUUAAAUGUCAUUUUAAUAAUUUUAACUUUUAACUAGAAAAUCAAUUUUUCACACAUGUUAAUAUAGAUCUAAUUUUUUUUCAAUUUGGAAUUUAACCAAAAGGAGUUUUAAUGUUACAGCACAAACUGCACGGAUCAUAUUUUAAGAAAUAGUUUACAAAUUGUUAUAGAGAACAAUUGCAAAACUUGAACAAGGCAUUUAAAUGGCAGAACUUAAUUUACCUCAUCGUUUCUCACAAAAAAAAAAGAAAAAAGAAAAAAGAAAAAAGAAAAAAAAAACCUCAUCAAAUUUGACUUCAUGUAUGACAAAAUAAUUAAGUGCUGCCCUUAAUUAGAUGAAAGAGCAAGAAGAUUCUUCUAAUCCAUCUAGACGUGGAAACACCCUAAUAACCAUACACAUAUUUAUUGCUUAAUCUAUGGCCAAGUUGGCACAUCUCAUCGAUUAAACAAGUGUUGUGAAAGUCACUACAAGAUCACCUUGUCAUCGACUGUCUGGGGUUGGUGUUUCUUAUACAUCAACUUAGGUGAGCGUGGUAUCAGUUCUUCAAGUAAAGUACCUUCAAUUGUAAUAGCAUUGUUCCUCAGUUCCAAUAUGUGGCAUGAGAAACCAUACUCGAACACAAUUUGCAAUUGUUCCUCACACUGGAGAUCCUGCACAAUUAAAAACAUUCAAAGAAAGCAAGAAAUAUUAAGUCAUCAAGUGAAUAUUCAAAUUUGUUUUACCGGGUCCCGAAGAUGCUUCUUCCUCUGAUUGAUGUGUGCAUAGCUUUGACGUAUAAGACAUAAGCAAUCUCUUGUUGCAUUGUCUAGUUUCUUUGUAUGGGUAAUGUUCAAUGUGCUCGACAUCCCCGUACCACUACCACUUUGAUUCUUGCGCAUGAUCCCCAUCUUAUAUGCAACAUCAACAGCUUUAAUUUCGUCCUCCAAUUUCGAUAACUAAUCGUCCUUUCGAAAUUCCUCUUCCCACCUUGUUGGAUCUUUAGUAAAAAUUUGUCUGACAUGGUAAAUCAUAGUAUCUGUGCAACUUAUUACUUCCCAAAAGUCGCAUGUGAAUGAUCUUCUCUCUUCCAAUGUCCACAAGAGAGGUGAUUAUACAACUUGUCGAAGAAACUACAAAGAAAAUACUUUUGCAAUUAUAAACAUAAAUAAGCACCCAAAAAGUUAAAAGUAUUUGAGAGUAUAUUGCUUACUUCUUGUAAGCUGUCUUGAUACCAUUCAAGAAUGUCUGUAUUUCUAGACUUCCAUAUGAAUUAUAGCCACAAGCCUCGUUAAUUUGCUCAACUAGCGUUGCCAACCCAACCCAAUUCAUGUUGAGACCAUCUGUUCAAAAUCAAGUUUCGGUUAAAAAAUAAUCUUACAAAUAACUACCAAUUUAUUUGUGGUUUAAUAUAUAUAUAUAUAUAUAUAUUACUUGCAUAAUCAAAAUCUACUAUUGUAAGAUGCAGAGGAUCAUUGUAAUUGCCAUUGCUAUUGCGCAAGACAAAAAUGUUUGUCAAGCUCAAUCGGGGUUUCACUUUCAGACUCUCUGGAUGUUGACAUAAUCGGAUUAAAUCACUAUAUUUAAAAGAAAAUGUUAAAAAACCAUUAAAGAAAUGAAAUAACAAUUUAAUUAUUUAAGACAUAUAAUUGUGCCACUUACAUAAGAAUAUUUUGGUAUAGACUGGAAAUCAGAUGUCUAUUACAAAACAAAUUUUUGUGUUGUUUGACAAAAUUCUCCAAACUCAUCCCCAGCUUCUCGAAAGCCAAGAAGUAAUCAUCUUGGCCUUCCACCUGAAAUGAUUGUUAACUCUUAAAAAAAAAAAAAAAAAUUUGGGCAGCACAGGCAUGGCCUAAGACAAAAUAUACAUUGGUUGAGCAGUUGCCUACCCUCCUCCUUAGCACACCAUCAAUAUAGGUAAAAUGCAUAUAUAUAUAUAUAUAUAUUUUACAAAGUACUCAAAAUCUCAUAAUGUUGUGCACUAGUAACGACUGAUUACUCAAGCCAUCACAUCAAACCCCACUUUAUACGCUACUAAUCCAAUGGACAAAAAUACCAACCCCAUGCAGGUUUACAGGCUUAACUUCAACUCAUAUAGUGCACAGAAUUAGUAAGUCUAAACAAUUUGAAACUUUUAUGAUGACAAACAUUUCCAUUUUUUUCCUUUUCAAAAGCCACACCAGGCACAUUUCCAUUUUUUUUCUUUUCAAAAGUCACACCAGGCACCUUUUACUAUCAAACAGACCUCACUUGAAUUUCCGUUAACCUUUUCAUUCUCAUUACAAUGCCUCAAGUCAUAUAAUCUUAAUCCAACCUUUUUGAAAAUGUUUCACAUUCCAAGUUUUACCCAAAAUACCAAUUCUUACUAUUUAGUCAACUAACUCAAAUUCAAUCGGCCAAAAAACUUGACAUAAAUCUCACAAAUUUACAAGGAAAUUAUAAGGUAUGAGUUACUAUGUCAAAAUCUCACCAAGAAGCUAAUAUUUGCCAAAUUCAUAAUCAAUCAAGAUCCAAAUCCAAUACAUACACUUAUUACAAGGAAAUAUAAGGUAUGAGUUACUAUGUCAAAAUCUCACCAAGAAGCUAAUAUUCGCCAAAUUCAUAAUCAAUCAAGAUCCAAAUCCAAUACAUACACUUAAAAUCAUAUAGUUCACUUAAACUUAACUUUUUAUCCAAUUUUAAAUCAAGAACCAACACUAUACUUAGAAAUUAAUCUUUUUUCCCAAUCAAGCUACAAACUUCUAUCUUUUGCAAAUACUCCUAGUUUUCCUAGAUGUGAUCCAAAUAAUAAUUGGGUAAAUUACAAAUACACCCAAGGUCUGUCAAAAUUACAAAUUUCCCCCACGUUUUGGAAAGUAUAAAUACACAAAUAACCUCUAAUACUAAAAUGAGAUUAUCAUAGUAUUCUCAUUUUCAUCCACCCACCACCAAAUGCUUCUCUUUCCAAAGUAUAAAUACACAAAUACCCUUAGUUCAUUUUGCUCUCUUUCAAUAUAUUUUUUUUCUUCAUUCUUUUCAUUUGAUUUGGGAUUGGCAAUGAAGAAUUUCAAUACCCAAAUUCACAUCAGGGUUUUCUUGCUCGUCGUGUUCGUUUUCGUCGGUCCAUAUAUUUUGUGCAGUAGCCAAGAAGAAGAAGACAUUCUCACAGCUCUAAUGGAGGAAAAGGGGCAGAAGGCCUUGUAUUAUGCUAUUCAAGGGUUUGUAAGGAAGUGGUGGUAUGGCUCAGAUCUCUAUCCAGACCCUUGUAGUUGGACUCCAAUACAGGCUUUGCCGAACCAACAGACUGUAGAUUGCCCAAGCUUUAAACUUGUCAUUGUUGGUGAUGGAGGAACUGAUUUGGCAAGCCCACAAAGAACUUCGAACCUCUAUCGCUGUGUGCAGAUAGCCGGCCCAUGCUGAUUGCUGGAUCACCUGAUGGGUGUUUGGGGCUUCUGGAUGGGAAGCCAAGAGAAGCUAGGAUGAAUCACCCAAAACGGAUUACUGUAGAUCACAGAGGAAAUAUCUACAUUGCUUACACUCUAAAUAAAUACGGCCAUCAGGAAGAUCAGUGAUACAGGGGUUGUCACUAUUGUAGGAGGAAAGUGGAGCCGAGGAGGAGGUCAUGUUGACUGUCUGAGUGAAGAUGCAAAGUUCUCAGAUGAUUUUGAUGUGGUUUAUGUCGGAAGUAGCUGCUCUCUUUUGGUUGCAGACGGGAAACCAGGCAAUUCGAGAUAUCCAACUUCGUGAAGAUGAUUGUGUCUACCACUACAACGGGAAUCAACAUCUGGGUAAAACUCAGCUGUUACAAACUUAAAAUCUCAUCCUCAUUACCAUUUCUUCACGGUUAAGAUCGUAGAUAUUCAAUUGAGAAAAUUCACAC